CUUCCUGCCCGUUCUCCUCCUCUCUCUCAUCUCUGUAGGCUCAGCCGCAGCUGGCCGCUCCAUCUCCUCCCCCGCGCCGCUCGCCCUUGUCGCUGGGAGGACCAUGUGUUGCUACCAUCGCACCACCUGAAGCAGCACGAUGCAAGGGAUGGACGUCGGAGCUCCGCCACCGUGCCCCUCCUCCGUUUAACUCGGGCGCCCGCUGGUGAGAAGGAAGAUCAUAAUGGCCUGCCCUCCUCCACCUCUUCUUCCAGGUUCAUCUCUCUAUGCACUCUCUAUCCCCCCUCUCUCUUAGAGGACCCCUUCUUGUAGCAGCUCAGAAAGAAAGACUACAAUGGCGUCAGAGGUUUGGGAGGACCUUUAAUUUUGUCCUCCGCUGCCAUUGCCUCCACCGAGUUAAUAAGGCAAGGAUGCUUUUCUACGAGCUAGUAAUCAUCUCCCCAAAUAAAGAUCUGUGGCAUCUACAUGUCAUAGAUCCGAAAUUUUUGGUUUGAUUGAGUUUCUGAUGCCUCCAAUCUGUUAGAUUCAGAAAUCGAGUAUGGAGUUCUUGGUAGCUUGAUGCCUCCAAGCUGUUAGAUAAAAAAAACGAGUAUGGAGUUCUUGGUAGUGGUUGUCAAUUGUGUUAUCCAGAACAUAUGUUUUGUACCAAUUUCUUCUUCUUAAGUAUUUUUUGUGAGGAUUAGCAAUGAAAAUAACCAUUGAUGGUACUGGAUAGUUUUUGCAACGGGUUGGCCUCUCAGUUUUCUAGAAAGAGCUAGACUCAUUGGUAUGGGGGACAAUCAAUGGUUGUAGCGUGAUUUCAUAUUUGCAUUGUGGGAGUACCUAUACAUGAGAGUUUCAAAUCUUUAUGUUUGUUUAAUUUAUUCAUAAGGGUGUUCAAAGAUUUCCAACUUUUAUAUCCUCGUCAUAAUUAAUUAUUUAGUACUAAUUAAGCAACCAAUUCUUGCAACAUAUGCCUUAUGUUCAGAUUCCUAGUGGAAUGCCGCAUUUUCAUUGAUGUGCAAUCCUUGAAGAAAUACAUGAAGGUGGUGAGUGACCUGGUCUCGACUAUAUAACACCAUCACCAUGAUUUGAUUCUUUUGAUUUCGUUUGAAACAUGCUCGACCUAGGUCAGGAAGUAUUUCAGCGAGUUGGUGUCUACUACAGAAUAUGGAAGCAUCAGAAAUGGUAUUUAGCCCUAAUGAUGCAUUUUCUACUUCAUUCUCAUAGUAGAUAAAUUAUUUUUGAUUUAAUUGCAUUUGAUCUAUAACCCUCCGGCUAUUUUGAUCCAGGUAUAUUGUAGAGGAAGAAUAUCAAUAUCUCUGUUUCCAUGUUCAGUGAAUACAUGGAAACAAAACUCGAUCUGGUACUGGGCAUUAGUUUCCAGAUCCGUUCUUAUUGAUUUUGCUCAAUUUUUUGUUAACAUUAACAUAGAAAUGCAACCAAACAAAAUUGGUAAGUUCUUCCCACUUCCCUGCUGAGAAACACUUCAUCUUCAACUCAAAGCAACACCUACUUUUUUAAUGUGUAAAUUGGAACCCUUUCAGUUCAUCCUUACAGAUUGCUACUGAUAUUUUUGGCUGCUUCAAAAUUAUUAUUGAUGCAUGAUUAUUGAUAUACCUAGUGAGAGGUAGGCCCCUAGUGAGAGGUGAUAAAUUUGAUUUGUCUUUACACCUGCAGAUUACUAAGCUUUCAUUGGGAAUUAUCAUAUAUUAGUACCACCUUUUGUUUUUACUUCAAGAACCUAAAACAAAUAUGUAUAAUACUUGGGUUCAAAGUUUUGACCCGUUGUGGUUAAUUCUUGCUUCCUUUCUUUCUCCUAAAAUCAUGUUCAUUUCCAAUUAUGUGAAUGCUUUGUUUCAGGGCCUGAAGAGGAAGUUUUUGCAUUGCUUGCACGGUAAAUUGGGCGAGCUUCUGAGAUUAUUUGGGCAUUUUUUUACCUGUGAGCCUAUGUGCCAAUUCACUAGCCCUAUGAGCCCAUCACUUUCUUACAUGCACCUGUCUUAAUUGGUUGUGAUGUCAGACUUCAGAAACAAUGUAAAUAGUGAGAAACAAAGAAGUAUUUCAAGCAAACCAAGGUAUUCUAUUGUUAUCACUCCAUUCUCUCGAAGUUUAUGAAUGGCAUCAAAACUAACCUUUCUUCGUGGCGCAAUACUUCCAUGCAUCUGUGCCAUAUUUAAUUGGCCUUUAGAAAUCAGUUUGCACCAACCGUGUAGUAGCUUGCUAUGAGUUUGUUUGAACCACUUGAUGGAUCUGAAUAGUUUCUGUUAAUGUUUCUAUUUUAUUGCCUCGUGGGCAUUGAGCUGGUCAGUCACCAUUUCUAUAUUAUCCUGAACUAACAUCAUGUGCUGCCAACAUCUCUUUUUCUGGUGGUGUCAAAUACUGCUUUCAUAGUAGCUGAUUGUGCUUCUUCUGCUUAAGAUUUCUAUCAUACUGUUAUAUUCACAUAGUAGAACCAUUUGUAUACGUACUGUUGUAGUUAUGCCAUCCGUUAAAUUUAGCAUGUUUCAUUUUCUGCUCGGAACGGAAGUUGCCAAAAUUCCAUUUAAUUUCCAUCAUUCUUUAUUUGCAGAGCACCACAACGAGGCCUAAUUAGUAGAUUUGAUAUACAUUGAGACCGUGAUAAUAAAAACGCAGCUCAAAUCAAUACCAGCCUUGAAUAUGAAGCAAUUCAUUACCCUUUUUUUCCUUUACCAUGGUAGCGCGGUCAUUAAUUUACGUUUUAGUUGUGUAUUGUUUUAUUUAUGAAAUAUGCAUGCAUUGCUGCAUAAUAUGGAAAUCAAGGUCAAACACUACCUUACAUUCUAUUUGUUACACUCUUUUGAACUAAAAAAAAGUUACUUGUUUGCCGGCCACUGGAAAAUUUCAGGUGCCUGACAAGGAAACUAUGUAGAGGUAGGCAGCCCAAGUAAUUAGUCAUUUGGAUUUACUUAAGUUUCUGAUUUCAUCAGGUUUGUCCUCUGCUCCAUAUAUGUACAAAUAUUUUUCUCAGCCUUACAUCAAUAUAUCUUAUGGGCAUAGGAAAGUGGUAUGUCGACCACAAGCUUGGGGCAAAUAGGCUGGCUCUAGAUAAAAAAUGACUUGAGUAAAAGAAAUAGAAAAUUAAAAAAGGUUGUCCAGCUAAAUAUAACCAGUUAUACCAUUACGAGUUCUGCAUUCACAUAACAUAGGUAUGAACAAGUUCUCUGUCUAUGCAGAUUAGUUUGUUGCUAGAGUUUGUAGAUCAGUAGCAAACAAUAUAUUUGGGUCGACUAAAGAAAAUAAGUUUAUUUUAGUAUCAAUUGCUACAUGCUAUAUAUAUUUGUGGGGGAGCUUCACAGCUAGCUAGAGACAAGAGGUUGUACUAACCAGUGGAACUUCUGGGUUUUAUUUCCACCGCCUCAAGUCAAUAGUUUUCAUAAUAAUCAAACUUCUAUUGGUUAAGAAUACUCCGAAUAUUCUUUUUUUUUGUGAAUUCCAAUUAAAUUGUUUAGCAUCAGUAUGACUUAGCAAAAUUCAAGCCACCCCUACCUAUAAAGUGAUUUGUUCACAGGUGGAAAUGGAGAAAGCUAUAUGAUAUUUAGUACAUUUUGGCAUAUUUAUAUGCUUUAGUUGUAUAGAGUUUUAUAUUUAUUAAUAGAAACCAACAAAUCAGUUAUUACAAUAAGCACUCAAAAGCGUAUUUUUAAAUCGUCGUCGGACUAUGUGGUAGCUGGUAAGCUCCCCAGGGUCUUGCCAGGUCAAGAAUUGAUGGCUUACGGAAAUCAUUGUGUUAAAUAUUGUCCUCAGCCAGCUGGGGCCUCAUAAUUUGAUCGUUUAGAUGGUUCGAUAUUCCUUACUAAUAUACAAAGUUACAUGCUUCCACCUCGGAACUUCUGUUUUCCUACCCAUCUGUAGGCUUUGGUGAAUCUGUUGGGUUCCUGCAGGUCUUGCAAGGUCAAGAAAUUUCUCAGACAGUUCCACUGUUCCAAAAAAAAAAAUGGCGUCUGAUGCAUGCUCAGUAAAAGAGGGAUGUGGGUUGUACAAUAAAAACUCGAUAGAUGGUCCUGUUAUGGUGUUUUAGGUCGGUGCAGCAGGACAAAGCUCAGGAUGUCUCCAAAAGCAAGUAAACAGGGCAAAGUUGUGGCUUGCAUGCUUUUAGAAGUGAGCCAGACCCAUCAUUUUUUCACUAAGUUGAGUGUAUCUAUUUGUUCCAUCGCUACACACAAUGCAUAGGAGAAAUUAAUAGCUUUAAAAACACAGCCGCAAACACAUUGUUACAUGUCUAUCUGUAACAUAAGAGUGUACCAUUUUCAUUU